AUUGAACGCUGGCGGCAGGCCUAACACAUGCAAGUCGAGCGAGCGGCGGACGGGUGAGUAAUGUCUGGGAAACUGCCUGAUGGAGGGGGAUAACUACUGGAAACGGUAGCUAAUACCGCAUACCAUCGGAUGUGCCCAGAUGGGAUUAGCUAGUAGGUGGGGUAAUGGCUCACCUAGGCGACGAUCCCUAGCUGGUCUGAGAGGAUGACCCACCACACUGGAACUGAGGCACGGGCCAGACUCCUACGGGAGGCAGGAGGGGGGAAUAGUGCACAAUGGGCUGAAGCCUGAUGCAGCCAUGCCGCGUGUGUGAAGAAGGCCUUCGGGUUGGAAAGCACUUUCAGGGGGGAGGCGUUACUCGCAGAAGAAGCACCGGCUUACUCCGUGCCAGCAGCCGCGGUAAUAC
rnacentral:rRNA from 1 species